rnacentral:lncRNA from 1 species
UCCACCCCCAGAGGGUCCCUAUCUCCGUUCUACCAGAAGAUCCUCGAGACUUACAGUUGGGAGGACCUCCUGGAUCAAAGAUUCUAAGAAACGAACAGGCGGACCGAGGAGCUCAUCGACGAGGUCAGCUUGACAGAUUCAUCUGACACCGAUCUGAAGGUAGGGAGGAUCGAUCGAGGGUCCUACCACAGCCAGAGCCGCCAAGGAGGGAGGAACAGCCUGAAGAUCGACCUCCAAUCGGGAUCGUCAACACCAUCUCUGGAGGACCCCGAUGGGGAGCAGCCAGUGGAUCGGCCGUACUGCCCAAGCGACAGAGGACUGAAGAGUCUAUAACCUUUACUGAAGAAGAUACCCGGGAGGUUCAAUUUUCACAUAAUGAUG